GGUCUAAUCUUUAUCGUAACAUAAUGAUAGGAAAUAAUCUUAAAUAAAUUUCUUAUUUUUUGUGUUGGAAUGAGUAACAUUUCUAGCUCCAUCUGCAGUAGUACUUUCCUGAAGUCUUGCUUCCAACCACUCUGAUUUUUUCAGGUGAAAAUACUGACACAGAAUGAGAAUGGCAGGCUGCAAGCUGCUCUUGUUAGCAAUCUGAAGAGUGCAGUCACAGCAGCCUUUCUCAUGUUACCAGAAAGUUUCUCUGAAGAAGACCUCUAUAUGCAGAUUGCAGGACUCUCCUAUUCUGCUGUUUGAGAGUGGCAGUAGAGAGGGCACUGACAGUGUGACGGCUAUGAGUUGCUUGCCAAGCGUGCCUGCUACAGGGCUAUGGACUUGCCUACCUGCAGCCUGCCCAGGAAUGUCAUGAUGUUCUCAAUGAUCACAAGUGACCAAGAUAUUUUUCAGGUAUCUCAAAAGAAAGUGUGAGGGUAACUAAAGCAAUACUGGUGUUGAAAGAAGUUGGUUUUUGAAACUACUAACAAAGUACUCAACUAAGAGGAAAAUGUGACCUUGUGAUCUGACCAU
rnacentral:lncRNA from 1 species